rnacentral:lncRNA from 1 species
AAAAAAAAAAAAAACGCCUUCCCCAAGUGUCUCCAGAAGGCUGAUUUGAAGCUCCCUUUCUCUUCCUCCUUCAGCUGACCUAUGAUUAUUAAACUUUCUCUGCUGCAACUCCCACUGUUUUGGUGUUUUGGUCUGCUACCACUCCAUGGGCAAUUGAACCCUGUGGGCCUGUAACAAUCCUCCUGCCUCAGUCUCCCCAUAGGUGGAAUUACAGGCCUGUGCCACUGUCUCUUGCUCUUUUACAACAGAUUUGACAUAAAUGGUUAUCAUCUGAAUCUUGUAUCUUUGGGACAUAGAAUGGGGUUUCUUAAUAAGUAAAUAUGACUAUGAAAUUAAAGAACUAUGUGAUUUAAUGAAUAAUUCAAUUGCACUGAACACAGACAUUUAAAAAUGUAAAAUAAACAGCCCAGUUUUAUUUACGUUCCUCAUUCUAAUCUCUUCUUUCAGAAUAAACCAAGUUUUGACCUACUCUAUGCUUGGUUUUGUGCUUUCUACUGUAGAUAUGUGAAAUAGUCAAUUACUGCUUCCAGAACACCCUCAGGGAGAAGUAGCGUAUUUCAAGAGUAAGUUGCUGACUCAUAUCCACCAUAUUUGCAUACUUGACCCUCGUGGGUAGUUUUGAGGUAAACCUAAAAGUCUUUCUUUUUUACAGAAAUUCCCUUGAAGUCUGUCUUACCGCAUCAAAUAAGGAUUCUUAUCUCCUCUUUCAGCGCAAAUAGGUUUUGUCUUCUGUCUUUUGAAGAUGUGAAAACAGUUACCUGGUUGCACUAGACAUGGCACCUACUAUUACGUUAAAAAUCACGGUUGUAAACUUAAGAAAGGAAUUCUUCAGCUUUUCAAAUGCGGGAAUAUUGAAACAUCUGCACACUUUGACUUUCAGGAAAUUGUCCUUGCCAAGACUGUACACUAACUAUGCUGACUGGAUAAUUAUAAAACAUAUACAUGCAUCAGUAAAUUAAAUUGGCUGGUCGGAGUGUAGUGGUGUUUACAACUAAUUGAUCACAACUAGUUACAGGUUUCUUGGUUCCUUCUCCACUGCCACUGCUUCACC